rnacentral:rRNA from 1 species
UGGGGAAUUUUGGACAAUGGGGGAAACCCUGACCCAGCAACGCCGCGUGAAGGAUGAAGUAUUUCGGUAUGUAAACUUCGAAAGAAUAGGAAGAAUAAAUGACGGUACUAUUUAUAAGGUCCGGCUAACUACGUGCCAGCAGCCGCGGUAAUACGUAGGGACCAAGCGUUGUUCGGAUUUACUGGGCGUAAAGGGCGCGUAGGCGGCAUGACAAGUCACUUGUGAAAUCUCUGGGCUUAACCCAGAACGGCCAAGUGAUACUGUCGCGCUAGAGUGCAGAAGGGGCAAUCGGAAUUCUUGGUGUAGCGGUGAAAUGCGUAGAUAUCAAGAGGAACACCUGAGGUGAAGACGGGUUGCUGGGCUGACACUGACGCUGAGGCGCGAAAGCCAGGGGAGCAAACGGGAUUAGAUACCCCUGUAGUCCCUGAGCGGGCUGGCAAGGCGCAU